ACCUGCAUUCGAAAGUGAUCGUGGGCUGUCUGUGCCCUGGUCAUUGAUAGUGCAGGGAGAGGAAUGUCUGAAAGCAUUUCCCGUGUUUGGAGGGUCUUCCCUGUCCCUUUCAAACCCUGGCGCUUUCUCACA